CCUUCAGUCUGACUUCCUCGGCUGCUUGACAGAUCCUGCAAAUGAUUUAGUCUUAAAAGCUGUUAAUGUCUCAUCUUUUAGCUCAUCUGCAAACAAAGCCGACGCACAGUAUGAUAAAACGAGUGUCACGCGACUCACCUAAGAAGUGAUGUGUUGUUGGUUGGAAGCAGAGCUCUGGACGUGUGGACAGAUGUUGACUGUAAUGAUGGACAUCUGCUCAUGGACAGUGUGUGCAAAAGUAUAACCGCUGCGGGUCACAGUGCUGGAAGCUCCAGGGGGAGACCGUAAUGAUAUCCCCCUUCUUCAGGCGCGCCUUCACACACACUCCUCCAUUCACCCGUAUCGCAGAGACCUGGCUGGGAUCGAACCAGCAACCUCUGAACCAUGAGGCAGCGCUCUUACCUGCGAGCCACAGAUCUCUUGCUGGAGCACCUGAAGGAACUUAUAUUUGACUGUUUACCUGUGAUUACCCAAUAAAGAAGUUAAAAUAA